UACGAAGGGGGCUAGCGUUGUUCGGAAUUACUGGGCGUAAAGGGCGCGUAGGCGGUGUGUCAAGUCAGGCGUGAAAGCCCCGGGCUCAACCUGGGAACAGCGCUUGAGACUGGCACGCUCGAGUUCGGGAGAGGAUGGUGGAAUUCCCAGUGUAGAGGUGAAAUUCGUAGAUAUUGGGAAGAACACCGAUGGCGAAGGCAGCCAUCUGGACCGACACUGACGCUGAGGCGCGAAAGCGGUGGGGAGCAAACAGG
rnacentral:rRNA from 1 species